CAUAGCGACUAUCGUGGCAUAUCAAUAAGCGGAGGAAAAGAAACUAACAAGGAUUCCCUUAGUAACGGCGAGUGAAGCGGGAAGAGCUCAAAUUUGAAAUCUUCAAGGUUUUACCUUGACGAAUUGUAGUUUAAAGAAGUGUUUUCUGUUGGAGUUUUGGUAAAAGUUCUUUGGAAUAGGACAUCAUAGAGGGUGAGAAUCCCGUAUUUGACCAUUAUUUCCAGCUGUGUGAUACACUUUCAAAGAGUCGGAUUGUUUGGGAAUGCAGUCCAAAAUGGGUGGUAAAUUUCAUCUAAAGCUAAAUAUUGGCGAGAGACCGAUAGCGAACAAGUACCGUGAGGGAAAGAUGAAAAGAACUUUGAAAAGAGAGUUAAACAGUACGUGAAAUUGUCAAAAGGGAGGCGUUUGACACCAGUGUUGUUUUCUCGAAAAUCAAUUAAAAAUGAUGGGAUUUUGUGUUGUAUUGACUUUAUCAGCUUUCUGCACUUUUUUCUUAUCUUUUUUAAUGCACUUUUCGUUUAACAAGUCAACAUCAAUUUCUUUUGUUGUAAAAGAGUCAUUGGAAGGUGGCUUUUUCUUCGGAAAAAGUGUUUAUAGCCUUUGGCUUCUGCAAUCGGAGAGAUUGAGGUCUGCAGCGUAGAUCCUUCGGGGUUAGAUACAUUUGUGCUAAGCUAUAGUUCUUUAUAGACAACUUGUUGACUAUAAUCAAUCCUGUAACUUACUCGCUUAUGCUAUUUUACCUACGCUUAGGAUGUUGAUAUGCAUGACUGAUAU
rnacentral:rRNA from 1 species